AGUGAACGCUGGCGGUAGGCCUAAUACAUGCAAGUCGAACGAACACACAGUAAGAGCUUUCCUUUAAGGGUGGCGAGUGACGGACGGGUGAGACAUACAUAGCAAUCUACUUUGUCGUGGGGGACAACGGAGGGAAAGUUAUGCUAAUACCGAAUACGACCUACGGGUGAAAUCAGUGGAUCUUCGGACCUUGCGCGAUUGAAUGAGACGACGUCGGAUUAGCUAGUUGGCGGGGUAAAGGCACACCAAGGCGACGAUACGUAGCUGAUCUGAGAGGAUGAUCAGCCACACUGGAACUGAGACACGGUCCAGACUCCUACGGGAGGCAGCAGUAGGGAAUAUUCGGCAAUGGGCGCAAGCCUGAUCCAGCAAUGCCGCGUGAGUGAUGAAGGUCUUCGGGUUGUAAAGCCCUGUUAUUAGGAAAGAAAAACAGCAUGAUAAUCUCUGGCUGUUCUGACGGUACCCAAAGAGUAAGCACCGGCUAACUUCGUG
rnacentral:rRNA from 1 species